UUAAAUAUAAACAAGGGUUAAUUUUUAUCAAUGUAAUAAGUAAACUAUUUAUGCCGGUUUUAAAAUUAAUGUAGACUGCAAAUUUAAAUAAAAUGGAAACUGUGCAAUGUUUGGCGCUUGUUUUAACUUCAAACUUUUGACAACAAGCGUUUCAUAAAUUUGUUUUUUAGAUUUGUUUUCAAAGAGUCUCAAGUAAAUAUUUACGAAUCGCACAUUUAAAAAAAAAAUAAAACAGAGAAAUGAGUAAUCAACCGUGACAUCUAAUUAGUACUGAAAGUAACAACAAUUUUGGAAGUAGUUGAGUAUGAUAUGUAAGAACCGUUUAAUGGUAAAUCAAGAAUUCAAACAACAGUUUGUACAACUGUGAAAAACAGCUAACGUUCUUGGCAAAUUAAAUUUAAUAAGUUUGAGCAUUAGCGAAGCAAGCAUUAAUUUGAAUGACUCUGGUGAAAUUAAAUUCAAGAGAUUCGUUCCUAAUCCCAAAUGUGGAGACAAAAUGUGGGAGUAAGAAAAAGAAAAUGCGGAGAAGGAAAUGUGUGAAGAAGAAAGUUUAAUUGUUUACUUUAAAAGUAUAUGAACUAAACAUUUAUUAAAAGUAUUAUUUAUGUUUAAACAUUAUAACAACAUGCUUCCAACAUAUUUA
rnacentral:misc_RNA from 1 species